GGUUUUAAUGCUGACGUAGACGGUAUGGUGGGAAUUAAGUUAAAAAGUGGCGCAUUUGGGGGGAAUUUGACGUUCUUUAAACAAUAUUAAAGAAAAUCGUUCAAUAGGCUAUACCUUUUGCGUAAUUGCUCAUUCUGAUUUUACCCUUCCUCCUAAGAAUUUAUUACAGGUUCAUUUAUGGUUUCACUUUCAAACUGUUUCUCUGAUACAACUCAUCAUCACUGUCGGCAUCAACUUCACCAGCUUCAUUUUUCUCUAUCCUCCAUUGAAACUACCCCUUCAAUCUCUAAUUCAACGAUCCAGGUCAUUUCUACAUCACUACCUUUGGAAAGAAUGCAUAAAGAUAUAGAGGAUUAUUACCACUAUUUUUGGAGGGAGGCUACAUCGCUGGUAAUCAGUGGUAUAAUUACUCCAUACUCGGGUUCAAAUGGUAAUUUCAUCUCAUGAGUUGAAAAGUCAAACAAAGUAUUACAUAUGGGCAACAAUGACAGUAAUUAGUACAACAAUGACAGCAUUUUAAUACAAUAAUAACAGUAUUUAUGCAAAUAAUGACAAUACUUAUAUAACACUUGUAUACAUACUUUUACCCAUUCAUUUAAUAUGCAACACUUUUAUCCAUUCA